rnacentral:rRNA from 1 species
GACGAACGCUGGCGGCGUGCCUAAUACAUGCAAGUCGAACGCAGUGGGGACGGGUGAGUAACACGUGGGUAACCUCCCAUCAGAGGGGAUAACACUUGGAAACAGGUGCUAAAACAGAUAAUGACGGAUGGAACCGCGGUGCAUUAGCUGGUUGGAGAGGUAACGUCUCACCAAGGCCACGAUGCAUAGCCGACCUGAGUGGGUGUUCGGCCACACUGGGACUGAGACACGGCCCAGACUCCUACGGGAGGCAGCAGUAGGGAAUCUUCGGCAAUGGUGGAAAGUCUGACCGAGCAACGCCGCGUGAGUGAAGAAGGUUUUCGGAUCGUAAAACUCUGUUGUUAGAGAAGCGGGAUCUAACCAGAAAGCCACGGCUAACUACGUGCCAGCAGCCGCGGUAAUUC